GUCUCCAAUAUCAAUUCAAACUUUGCUCGUCUCUUCUGCCGACCCCUAACCAAUCAUGUUACAAGCUGAUAUAUGGCCCAGGUUGCUCCGCGUUAACUCACAAAUAUCGAUUGAUCCCGGCAUGAGCUUUGCGCGCGUCAUGCGACAAUCAUGAGUAGCGUGUCUUCGCACGACAUCGGCAAGAUUUGGAUCGCAUACGCGUCGCGGCCAAUUCAGCGCAUAGGGUCAUCAACUGUGUUGCUUUAGAAUGUCAUUGCAAUUUCUUACUCAUAAUGGACCAUGCGCGGAGUACAAGUCAAUAUAUAAAUAUAAGAAUCAUAAGGCAGUUAUAUAUUGCCUGUGAUACUUUUUAUCAGAGAGUAAUAUGGAAGUAUCGAAAGUUCUGAUUACUAUAGGCUAUCCAGUGCAUAGUUGAAGUAAACAAAAUCUGAAAUGGACUCUCCGCCAUCAUGUUCACUAAGCGCUGGGCCUCUCAGUGAUCUUGGUAGCAGUGGCCUAGGAGGUUCAAUAUCUAGUGAUUCUGUUCGAGCCCAUCUUGCGAUGGAGAUACAAGAAAGUGACAUAGAAAGUAAGUCUCUAUCACAAGAUUCUUUUGAUUAUUCGGAUGGCAUGUGCAGCGAGAAUUUCAACACAUUGAAGAAGGGUCCAGGUUGGGGUGAUACAGAUGGUAAAUUGGAGGUUGAAGUGGUUGAUGUAGCGAUCAAGCCACCACCAGAGUUUCAGGACAGUCCGUCGCCACCAGAUUCGGAAUCUUUGUCGGCACCAAUUGUGAACUACGCACGAUUGAUGAGACAUAGAAUGCCAUGCUGGUUCGACGAUUAUGCUGAGAGUCUAGUACAAUCGGCAGUAGAUGAGGCGUUAGUGAUCUCUUGUCGCAUCUCCUGGCCGGAAGGAAGAAUUGCGCCUACUAUGAAUCCGAUCUCAGUGAUAACACGGGCUCAACAGACAAAUUCUAAACGCAUAUGGGAUCUAAUGACGCCACCAGUAUGCCAGAGUGCUGCUACCAUCACUAUUACUCCGUAUAAUACACUGAAUCGGCCAAACUCGCGUUGCUCAUUAGCUUCGUCAAGACUAUCUAGUUCACAUAAUUCCAUUAAUACCUCCGGACUUGGCCAUAAAGCCGACGACAGCAGCUUUAUCACAUCCGCCAUGUCGCAUGAUGUAUUGACUACAAGCGAAAUAAGUGAUAUGUACAAUGUACCGUUCGAUUCGGAUAUUUACACGGUGCCUAUCGACAUGAUACGACCGCUGCACGAUUUGCGAACGCCACAGAGGCCCAAACGACACCGGCAUCAUCGCAAGAGACGGCGAAACGUUUCCGCGAGUUCGCAGAGUGAGUUGGAGGCGCAUAUCCAGCAAGCGCGCCACUAUUGCGGCAAGUCACGUGCCAUAACGCACGUCAUUAAAUCUCAACGUUUGCUGGCUGAUGUCUGUUGUAACGAGGUUAAUCCAGGUAGUGGUGGUGGCAAACGACAUAGUGUACCGGGCACUUCCGGUCGUCACAAUAUUAAAACAUCGAAUGGACAUGCACACAAUAUUGGCGAGCCAAUCCAUAUGACUCUACACGAAGUGCGACAGUAUCUACAGACGUUAUAUUCGAGCUCGAGCGAUUCUAGCGAGAACAAGAUUAAACGAGACAAAACGCCACUACUAGGCCAUACUCCAGUGCAUCUUGCCGCGACAGCCAAACCCCUCAGUAUAAAUAAUAAUAGGUAUAACAGUAAUGUGCAUACGGAUUCAUCCACGGACACACCAGUGUCCAAUAAGAGUACCAGUAACGGACUGAUGAUUCAUCAUCAUAACAAUAAUAAUAACAAUCAUAACAAUAACUCUAAUAAUGUGAAGAAGCACAAGAGGAACGCGUUUGUCAGCAUCAGGCAUAAGAAGGCACGCGAUGAAUCGCAUAAGGAGAAGAGCGAGUCCGAGCGGGAGAAGAUAAAGAAAAGUCAGCGUAAUUUCUCGCUAAAUCUUAAGCAAACACUUUGCAAUAUUUUCCGGUUUCGGCGACUGGGCUCGCCGGAUCAUUUUGUGGAGAAACGCAACAGCAUCGUACAGGGAGAGAUCGUCGAAGAGGAAGAGAGCGUUGAUUCCGAUCAGCAUGCAAAUAACAACAACACCGCUCCAUCCGAGAUGGAACCGUCCGCGCAAAAACUGCCGUUCUUCAAGCGUGCGUUGCCACCUCUGCCCAAGAGUAAUAGUCAGGUAAAUGUGGAGCAAGCAGAAGAGGCUCUUACAGCAAUGACACCCAAGUGCGAAUCUCCGAGCUUGAUACAACAGCAAGUUUCGUCGCCCGCUGCACGACUCGAAGAAGAUACCGCAGAGGACACGAGUAUGGACUUUGCUGCCAGUAUUGAGAAAGUAAAGGAUUACGGAUGGUAUUGGGGACCUAUAUCCGGCGAAGCGGCGGAGAAAAUACUAUCCAACGAGCCGGAUGGCUCAUUCAUCGUGCGGGACAGUAGCGACGAUCAUUAUAUUUUUUCUUUAUCAUUCAGACUUAAUAGUUGCGUGCGACAUGUGAGGAUAGAACACGAUCAGGCAGGUAAUUUCAGUUUUGGUAGCUGCACAAAGUUCAAGUCACAUACUAUUGUUGAUUUCAUCGAGAAUGCAGUCGAGCAUUCGCGCAGCGGUCGGUAUCUUUUCUUCCUUCAUCGGCGACCGGUUCUGGGUCCAAUGCGAGUGCAGCUGCUCCAUCCAGUAUCGCGAUUCAAGCAAGUACAGAGUCUGCAGCACACUUGCAGAUUCGUCAUCCUGAAGAUGGUGCGUAGGGACCUGAUCCCGACCUUGCCAUUACCCCGGCGACUCAUCGAUUAUCUCAGUACACCCCAUUACUACAGCGAGCAACUAGCGGCCGAGCAGGACGAUCGAGCUGAAUCGCCAGUCAGUUCAUCAACCGGUGAACUGGAGAAGAUUUGCUUCACGCCGCAAGGUCUCUCGUGAGAUUAAUUCAAUUUCUAUCAACAUGCAAUAAAUUUAAUACUGGUUGAUUAAGUUUUGGAAAGGAAAGCCGCAGCAUUUUGUGCCAAGCAGGAGUCCUUCAAGGUUGCAGCAUGUCGAAGCUAAGCGCAAUAAUCGAAGUGAUUCUUAAAAUGAAUAACGGACACAUUUAGACGGAUAACAAAAUUAGAGUUUAACGUUAAAUGCAACAAUUCGAGCGAGAGAGAGCUCGUUCAAGUAAUUCCAAUUUCCAUCGACGAUUAGGGGACGGUAGUGAGUGUAUUUAUAUUAAAUGUUUUUAUAUAUUUAUAACUUAUUUAUAACUUUUGAUGUCAGCGCUGCGAAGAACAAUUCCUUUUGAAUGUAUUUUUCUUUUAGCAAAAUGUGAUAUUAUUGAUAAAUAGACAACUGCGAUAUUACACCCGUCUUACUAAAAGCAAAAGAUGGCAAAUAUUAUAAAUUGAGCGUUCUAUAGAAUAUUCCGGCACUAUUGUGUAUAUUGCUUUAGAUUUUCCGAUGAACUCGCAGGGUUGAGUAAUAAUUAAACAGUUAAAAAGUUGAAAAGUUAUUAACUUUUAUUUAGUUAAUUUUAAACGUAUUAAUUUUUAAUUCAAACUAGUUAUUUUUAAAUGCAUUAACGUUAUCUUAUUAACUUUUGCCAUACAAGUUAAAAAAAUUAAUCAAUAUUAAAAUCGUGUAAAAAUGGUAGAUCGUAAUGCGAAUAUUUCAUUUGUCGUAUAACAAAUUUGGUCAGAUGUGUCAAUUUGCUGUUGGAUAGAGAAUUAACUUCAAUAAGUUAAUAAUGUUAAUAAUUUUUUAACUUAAUUUUAACUGAGUUAAUUUUUGUUUAAGUAACUCUUAACUUAGUUAAUUCUUGGAGCGUUUUCUUUAAACUUAAUUUAGUUAAAAAAAACUUAUUCAACUUUGUUAACUCAUAAGUCCGGAUCUACAAUAGCAAGCCUUAAGCCAUAAGAAAUUGAUUAAUCACAGUCAAAUCUCAAGGAGACUAAUCAUUGUUAUUGGUAAUUCUCUUACGGCUUAAAGCUUACUACACCUAUUGUAAAUUCGGGUUAACGAAGUUUUAAAACAUGUCAUCUAUAGGAAUAUCUUUCUCUUGUAAGAGAAAUAAAUUUUUGCUUGUUAAGAUACGGCAGCUUUGAAAGUUUAACUUAGAUAUUAUAGUCGCUUGACACAGAAUGUGAAAUGCAUGCCAAAGUAUAAAACUGUAUCCAGAGUACAACAUUUGUACAUAUUCUCAUGUUCACUGUUAAAUAUAUAAUUUUGCGUACAAAGAUUUUUACAUAAAUAUACGAUUAUUACAUAAAUUGUUUUCUUAAAAUAUUCGCAUAGUAUUGGACAGUAUUGGGGAACACAUUAUUUAAAAUUUAUGAAAGUAGAUUGAAAAUAAGUUUAAUUAGAAAAUUUUUUUAUAGUUUAUUAUAAUUAUAUGUUUCUGAAGUGUAUAUCUUGUGUUAAUACAAAUGAAAAAGAAUGCGCAAAAAUAUAUUGAGAUAAUUUAUUACCUCAUUUAAAUGUUACAGAUAAAUUAUACUUUUUCUAAAUAGUUAAAAAAUCAGAUAUUUUGAAAACCAAAGUAUCAUUAAAAAAAAAGUUGUAAUCUUUUCAAUAUAUAGUGUAGUGGAUUGAAAAAAAAACCAAUAGAAAUAUUUGUCUUAUAGAGACAUACUAGAUAGUAUUUUAGAGUUAAAAAAAUGUACAAGAUGUUGUGCUUCGGUUAAAACAGCUAUAUACAUAUUAUACAAAAAAUUACAGCUAUAUACAUAUAUACAAAAAAUUUUAUUUUAUUCAAAUAUAAUUGCUGAAUGCUAGUCACAACACUCUAUUUUUCAGUUGAAUUCAAAUGUUGUUCAAUUUAUUGUAAUAAAUUUACACGCGCGCGCGCGCGUACAAUGUUUUAUUGUUUUUAUCAACUUAUAAUUCGAACAAACGGAAAUAAUGAAAAAGAAUAAUAGAAGAUUGAAGUGCAAGAAAUAAGCAAGUUUAUUUUAAAAAAUAUUAAGUAAAAGUGAGAAAAUUGUUGAAUUUUUAUAUAUUUUAGAUUUUAUCAAAUUAACUAUUCUUGCAAUUAAUUUGCAUUCAUUAUACAAAUUGCCCAAAUAUGAUUUGAUAAAAAAAAUUGAGUGUUAGAAAAAUGAAUUUACUUCACCCUUAAAAUCACAAAUACAAUUUCAGAGAUUACUUAUUAUAUAUAAUAAUCUAUUAAUUAAUUCUUUCUAGUCUAAUGUGCAGAUUUUUUUUCCAAAAAAUAAUUUGAGAUCGUAUUUUAAAAAAUAUCAAAAAUGAGAAAAUUACUAGAGUUUUUAUAAAAACAGAUUUAUUUUAUAAUUCAAUUAUUUUAAGAAUUAUUAAAGAAAACUUCCUCGAAUCAAAUCAACUACUCAGAGACUGGUACAUUUUAAAUGCACUUUAUAUUUUUAAAUGCACUUUAUAUUUUGCCAAGUUCGAUUGUUAUUCAAGAGAAAUGUGCACAUGAUAAUCAGAGAUUUGCUGCAAAUCUUUAAUUAUUUUAAUUAAAUAAUUUUGUAAAUACGAUGCGAUAUAUGUUCCGGAAUUUUUAUCAGGAUUGACAAUGUCUCGAUCGGCACUCAUAUAAUUUCAAUAAAAUCUAAAUAAUAAAAACAGGAAAACACUGACUGCGAUAACAAUCUAGUUUAUUCUAUUUUAUUGGCAAAAUAAUUUUUCUAAAAAAUGUUUUUGGUGAUGGAAUAACUACUCCGUUUAUCCUUAUUACACAAAUAUACUUAUAUAAAAUAUUAUAAAUUUAUUUAAGUUAAUUCCUUUCUUAGAGAGAGAAGGAAAUAAAAGAUAUCUAAAUAUAUUAGUUAAUAAUAUAUUAAAUUUACACUGAUGUACAUUUACACAAAAAUGAUGUAGCACCAUAUAUGAUUGUGAUAAUUAACAUCAUCCUAAAAUAAUUUAUGGGAUUGAUUGAUAAUUUUAAGUAUUAAUACUUAACAUCAAUCAUGCACUCAAACGCAAGAAGCGAAUCCUGUCCUUUGUUAACGAUUCAUCACAGAGUGAAAUGACAUAUACAUAUACAUAUAUAUAUAUAUAUAUAUAUAUAUAUAUAUAUAUAUAUAUAUAUAUAUACAUAUAUAUAUACAUACAUAUAUAUAUAUAUAUACAUAUAUAUACAUAUAUAUACAUGUAUGUGUGUGUGUGAGUGUGUGUGUGUAAGAUAAUCACGUAUGUAUUUGAUUACCCAUGUUUGUACUGCAAUGUUGAAAAUAAAACAUUUUUUGAGAUUAACAA